UGUGACUGUGGCAGAGAGGAGGUGCAUUGUGACGGGAGGUGCACUGUGACUGACAGGGGGUGCACUGUGGCAGAGAGGAGGUGCAUUGUGACGGGAGGUGCACUGUGACUGACAGGAGGUGCACUGUGGCAGAGAGGAGAUGCACUGUGGCAGAGAGGAGGUGCACUGUGGCAGAGAGGAGGUGCACCGUGACAGAGAGGAGGUGCACUGUGACAGAGAGGAGGUGCACUGUGACAGAGAGGAGGUGCACUGUGGUUUUCAUGGGGGAGGAAGUUGAGAGACAGUCUGUCAUCGAUGGUGAAUAGUCACUUAUUUUACAUGAAGCAUAUUAGUGAUGUAUGGGUCAAGGACAAAUAAGGCCUCUAAAAG
ensembl:lncRNA